rnacentral:lncRNA from 1 species
AAAAAAAUAAAUAAGAUACAACUUGAUAAAGAAAUACUCUCCCAGCGUUAAUUUUAUUAAAAGCACCUUUUUGGCAUGCACCGAAUUCGUUGGACUAAUGCCCUUGUUAUAGAAUUUGAGUCCGUCUGUAGUUUUUCUGCCUCACCAAAAUAAGAAAUGGCAAGUAAUCCUAUCAUACUGUCAUGUACUAUUCAAGAGGGUACUCUCCUAUAGUUUUGGGACAAAUAUAAUUCUAUUAAAGUUGUACAAUUUUACUCCCUACUCAGUCUCUGAGCUGUGCUGCAAAAUCAAUUAGUUGCAAAUUCUGUUUUGGCUCACUUUUAUUUGGACAACAAUAUUACUUCUUCAGCUUGAUGCUUCGUCUCAAUAGGACCUUUGACACUAGUCCUCUUAAGAGGAAAUGUUACUGCAAUCAGCAAGCAUGGAAUUGGAUCAGUUAAUUUAAAAAGACAUCUAGCCACAAUUAAGCAUGAUUCAAAUGAAACCAAAACACGUGAAACUCCAAAGGUUGUAAAGUUUUAACAGAUUAAACUAUAAUUCUAUCAAAGCUAGAGAGAGGGAUUACGCAUAACAGAAUUAUAAAAGCAUAACCAAAUUUUGUGGGUGGAAGCUAGUCAUUAUAAAAGCAUGAUAAAAGAUAUCCAAAGCAAGCAGGACAGAAAGUUGUACGCAAAUUUCAUACAAGUUAAUGAACUUCAAACGCAACAAAAAUAAAAUUUAACACUGAUAAAUGGAAUUACAACCACAAUAGAUGAACCGGCUUAAUACUCUUUCUGCAAAUCAGAUUUACCUAGCUAUUAAAAGAAGCAAGAUAAACAAAUCGCUGUAACUAAAGAAACACAUGCUUGAUUUUCUGCCAUAAAGUAUAGUAAUGUUUGACAAAAAUAGAGAAAGUAUAUAAAAUAAAAACAAUGCAAUGAAGUGAACAGAUAAUACUGGGCAAUCAUCAUUCUAAGGAUUAAACAUGAAAAUCAAAAGGCAUGCCUUUACAGAUACAUAUAUAACAUCAAACAACAAGAUCACACUCACCCUUUUCUGAGAACUUUCAACCCAAUAUUUAUUAGGUUUCGAGAACCUUAGCUUGCCAGCCUUCAUUACCGAAAUUGCAUCACAGUCCUAGAAGAAUUGUUACAGGAAAAGAAGGUAAGAACCAUGAAAGGAUUCGCCAUAAACUAGCAUCAAGCCAUAACAAGAGUACAAACCUCAACCUUUAGUCAUAAACACGAACAACAACAACCAUCGCAAAAGCUGAAUUCCAAUAAGAUUAAAAAUCUCCAUUUCAGAAGGCAUUGCUAAAGUCAAAUUGCCUUAUAGUGAAGUUUCUAGAGAGAGCAAGACUUAACACAACUCUAAUUGUUGUAGGUCUAAUAACUGGACUAACAACAUGCUUGAAAUCAAACCCCUCUUCUUAAUAGAAUCCUUGAGCAACAAGCAUAACUUUAUACUUUUGAACACUACCAUUAAAAUGUCUUUUUAUAGCAAAAACCCACUUAUAACCUAUUAUCUUAGCAUGCUCAGAUGUUGGAACCAAAGUCCAAGUUUGAUUUUUUAUUAAGGCAUGAUACUCAUCAAGCAUAGCCUUAUGCCAGUGUGGUAUUUGUAAAGCAAGUUUAGCAGUUUUAGGAGGUUGUUCAUCUGUGAAUUCUUUAUGAAAAGGAGUGUGAAAGAGUUUAGAAGUGAUUGCAACUGUUUUAGAGCGAGUAAGCAUGUUGUGAGUGUUCUUGGGCACAAUAUUACCAGGUUGUGUAGUUGCAGUUCGUAAUUCUGAUGCUGUGUGUAUAGGGAGUUGAAUUUUAAUUCUUCAAAUAGGCAUCAUUCUUUGACCUGUGAAUCCAUAUUAAUUUCAAUAGUAGAAUCAUAAUGCUUAUUCUUGUCAUUGUUAAUGAUAGAUUUAUUGUAACUUGUAAGAGUUAGAUUUUAAUGCAGGAAUCUGUAAACUAAUAGAAGGAAUAAUCUUAUCAGUAUUUGUUUUAGAAUCAAUUUGAUGUUAGGAAACUAAUUCAGAAUAUAGAAAGCAAUUUUCAUCAAACACAUUUCUAGAAACAAAUUUUGUUAUUAAAAGAUAAACACUUGUAUCCUUCAUCCUUUAUAUUGAGAGUCAUAACCAAUAAACACACAUUUAGAUUUUUUAAUGACAGAGGGAGAGGAAGAAAAGGGAUCCAUGAAUUGAAAAGGCAUAAUGAUUAACUAACCUCCAAGCGUUGAGCGGCGGUGGCAGUAGGUUGCGGUGGCGGCGGAGGCGUGUUGCGGCGGCGAAGAUAUGCUAAUGAGAUUUGCAGCAGAGGAAGAGGAAGAGAGAAAUGCAGGAAUUGAAAUUGUAUGAAAACCCUAGCAGACCUUCUCUUCUCUUCUCUGAAUGCUUCUAACGUGAGAAUGAAA